GUGUGUGAAGAAGGCCCUCGGGUUGUAAAGCACUUUCAGCGAGGAAGAACGCCUAGCGGUUAAUACCCGCUAGGAAAGACAUCACUCGCAGAAGAAGCACCGGCUAACUCCGUGCCAGCAGCCGCGGUAAUACGGAGGGUGCAAGCGUUAAUCGGAAUUACUGGGCGUAAAGCGCGCGUAGGUGGCUUGAUAAGCCGGUUGUGAAAGCCCCGGGCUCAACCUGGGAACGGCAUCCGGAACUGUCAAGCUAGAGUGCAGGAGAGGAAGGUAGAAUUCCCGGUGUAGCGGUGAAAUGCGUAGAGAUCGGGAGGAAUACCAGUGGCGAAGGCGGCCUUCUGGACUGACACUGACACUGAGGUGCGAAAGCGUGGGUAGCAAACAGGAUUAGAUACCCUGGUAGUCCACGCCGUAAACGAUGUCGACCAGCCGUUGGGUGCCUAGCGCACUUUGUGGCGAAGUUAACGCGAUAAGUCGACCGCCUGGGGAGUACGGCCGCAAGGUUAAAACUCAAAUGAAUUGACGGGGGCCCGCACAAGCGGUGGAGCAUGUGGUUUAAUUCGAUGCAACGCGAAGAACCUUACCUACUCUUGACAUCCUGCGAAUUUGGUAGAGAUACCUUAGUGCCUUCGGGAACGCAGAGACAGGUGCUGCAUGGCUGUCGUCAGCUCGUGUUGUGAAAUGUUGGGUUAAGUCCCGUAACGAGCGCAACCCUUGUCCUUA
rnacentral:rRNA from 1 species